rnacentral:rRNA from 1 species
AGCAGUCGCCACGGGAAUACGUAGGUGGCAAGCGUUGUCCGGAAUUAUUGGGCGUAAAGGGCUCGCAGGCGGUUUCUUAAGUCUGAUGUGAAAGCCCCCGGCUCAACCGGGGAGGGUCAUUGGAAACUGGGAAACUUGAGUGCAGAAGAGGAGAGUGGAAUUCCACGUGUAGCGGUGAAAUGCGUAGAGAUGUGGAGGAACACCAGUGGCGAAGGCGACUCACUGGACCAUUUCUGACGCUGAUGCACGAAAGCUAGGGGAGCAAACAGGAUUAGAUACCCCCGUAGUCCCUGUCUCUUAUAA